rnacentral:rRNA from 1 species
AGAGUUUGAUCAUGGCUCAGAACGAACGCUGGCGGCGUGCUUAACACAUGCAAGUCGAGUGCGCGGUUGUAGCAAUACAACUGGCGCACGGCGCACGGGUGCGUAACACGUGGGCAAUCUGCCCUUCGAUGGGGAAUAACUCCGCGAAAGCGGAGCUAAUUCCGCAUAACAUUCCUUGGACCUCGGUUCGAGGACUCAAAGCCGUAAGGCGUCGAAGGAGGAGCCCGCGCACGAUUAGCUAGUUGGUAGGGUAACGGCCUACCAAGGCUUUGAUCGUUAGCUGGUCUGAGAGGAUGGCCAGCCACACUGGAACUGAGACACGGUCCAGACUCCUACGGGAGGCAGCAGUGGGGAAUCUUGCACAAUGGGCGAAAGCCUGAUGCAGCGACGCCGCGUGGGGGAUGAAGCAUCUCGGUGUGUAAACCCCUUUCGACCCGGACGAAUGCCUCGCAAGAGGAGUGACGGUACGGGUAUAAGAAGCCCCGGCUAACUACGUGCCAGCAGCCGCGGUAAGACGUAGGGGGCCAGCGUUGUUCGGAAUUACUGGGUGUAAAGGGUUCGUAGGCGGUGUGGCAAGUCGGGAGUGAAAUCUCUGGGCUCAACCCAGAGGCUGCUUCCGAAACUGCUGUGCUUGAGUGUGGGAGAGGCGCGUGGAAUUGCAGGUGUAGCGGUGAAAUGCGUAGAUAUCUGCAGGAACACCCGUGGCGAAAGCGGCGCGCUGGACCACAACUGACGCUGAGGAACGAAAGCUAGGGGAGCAAACAGGAUUAGAUACCCUAGUAGUCC